GUGUCAGCAGCCGCGGUAAUACGUAGGCAGCGAGCGUUGUUCGGAGUUACUGGGCGUAAAGAGUGCGUAGGCUGUGGUCCAAGUCUGGUGUGAAAUCUCCCGGCUCAACCGGGAGGGUGCGCCGGAAACUGGGCUGCUUGAGUGCCGGAGAGGCAGGCGGAAUUCCUGGUGUAGCGGUGAAAUGCGUAGAUAUCAGGAGGAACACCCGUGGUGUAGACGGCCUGCUGGACGGCAACUGACGCUGAGGCACGAAAGCGUGGGGAGCAAACAGGAUUAGAUACCCUGGUAGUCCACGCCCUAAACGAUGCAUACUUGGUGUGGGCAGUUCAGUCUGUCCGUGCCGAAGCUAACGCGAUAAGUAUGCCGCCUGGGGAGUACGGUCGCAAGGCUGAA
rnacentral:rRNA from 1 species